AUUGAACGCUGGCGGCAGGCCUAACACAUGCAAGUCGAGCGGGGGUAGCAAUACCCUAGCGGCGGACGGGUGAGGAAUGCAUCGGAACGUGCCGAGUCGUGGGGGAUAACACAGCGAAAGUUGUGCUAAUACCGCAUACGCCCUGAGGGGGAAAGUGGGGGACCGCAAGGCCUCACGCGCUUUGAGCGGCCGAUGCCCGAUUAGCUAGUUGGGGAGGUAAAGGCUCACCAAGGCGACGAUCGGUAGCUGGUCUUAGAGGACGAUCAGCCACACUGGAACUGAGACACGGUCCAGACUCCUACGGGAGGCAGCAGUGGGGAAUAUUGGACAAUGGGGGCAACCCUGAUCCAGCCAUGCCGCGUGAGUGAAGAAGGCCUUCGGGUUGUAAAGCUCUUUGAGCGGGGAGGAAGGUUCGCUAUCUAAUACAUGGCGGAAUUGACGUUACCUGCAGAACAAGCACCGGCUAACUCUGUGCCAGCCGCCGCGGUAACAC
rnacentral:rRNA from 1 species